rnacentral:rRNA from 1 species
UACGAGGGGGGCAAGCGUUGUUCGGAAUUAUUGGGCGUAAAGGGUGCGUAGGCGGUCUGAUAAGUCAUCUGUGAAAUCUAUGGGCUCAACCCAUAGUCUGCAGGCGAAACUGUCGGGCUUGAGUAUGGGAGAGGUGAGUGGAAUUUCCGGUGUAGCGGUGAAAUGCGUAGAUAUUCGGAAGAACACCAGUGGCGAAGGCGACUUACUGGACACAUAUUGAUGCUGAGGUGCGAAAGCGUGGGGAGCAAACAGG